rnacentral:rRNA from 1 species
UACGAAGGGGGCUAGCGUUGCUCGGAAUCACUGGGCGUAAAGCGCACGUAGGCGGAUUGCUAAGUCAGGGGUGAAAUCCUGGAGCUCAACUCCAGAACUGCCUUUGAUACUGGCGAUCUCGAGUUCGGGAGAGGUGAGUGGAACUGCGAGUGUAGAGGUGAAAUUCGUAGAUAUUCGCAAGAACACCGGUGGCGAAGGCGGCUCACUGGCCCGAGUACUGACGCUGAGGCACGAAAGCGUGGGGAGCAAACAGGG